UCACAUCAAUGCUUCGAGCCUAUACACGUUGCAAGCUCUAGCUACUGUAAACGGAGAGAGCAGGACAAAAAUUGAAGCUUUCUCCGCUUAUGUGUGGAAGAAAAUGGUGGAUUCUAUAGAGAGUAGUCAUAAGACCUGCAAGAUGGGAUGGCUUGUGGACGGUAGAGGAAGACUCGAGACCGUUACCUCCAACUAUAUAGGAAACGUCUUGUCUGUAGCUGUCGGAGAAGCCACUAUCGAAAAUCUGAGGCAAAACCAUGUAUCAGAGAUAGCAAACAUAGUGCAUAAAUCGAUAACAGAAGUAACAAACGAUAUUCAUUUCACAGAUUUGAUAGAUUGGAUAGAGAGUCACCGACCUGGACUGAUGUUGGCUCGGGUGGUUCUCGGACAAGAAGGGCCAGCUUUGGUCUUGUCUUCAGGACGACGGUUCCCUGUGGCUGAAUUGGAUUUUGGAUUUGGUGCUCCUUUCCUAGGGACUGUAUGUUCAACGAUUGAGAAAAUAGGAGUUGGUUACCUGAACCAGCGACCUAGCGCCUGCAAUGAUGGCUCGUGGUCAGUUUCUGCUAUCGUGUGGCCUGAACUCGCUGAAGCUUUAG
rnacentral:lncRNA from 1 species